rnacentral:rRNA from 1 species
UCGAGCGAGCUUGCCUAGAUGAUUUUAGUGCUUGCACUAAAUGAAACUAGAUACAAGCGAGCGGCGGACGGGUGAGUAACACGUGGGUAACCUGCCCAAGAGACUGGGAUAACACCUGGAAACAGAUGCUAAUACCGGAUAACAACACUAGACGCAUGUCUAGAGUUUGAAAGAUGGUUCUGCUAUCACUCUUGGAUGGACCUGCGGUGCAUUAGCUAGUUGGUAAGGUAACGGCUUACCAAGGCAAUGAUGCAUAGCCGAGUUGAGAGACUGAUCGGCCACAUUGGGACUGAGACACGGCCCAAACUCCUACGGGAGGCAGCAGUAGGGAAUCUUCCACAAUGGGCGAAAGUCUGAUGGAGCAACGCCGCGUGAGUGAAGAAGGGUUUCGGCUCGUAAAGCUCUGUUGGUAGUGAAGAAAGAUAGAGGUAGUAACUGGCCUUUAUUUGACGGUAAUUACUUAGAAAGUCACGGCUAACUACGUG